rnacentral:rRNA from 1 species
GACGAACGCUGGCGGCGUGCUUAACACAUGCAAGUCGAACGGAAAGGCCCUGCUUGCAGGGUGCUCGAGUGGCGAACGGGUGAGUAACACGUGGGUGAUCUGCCCCUUACUUUGGGAUAAGCCUGGGAAACUGGGUCUAAUACUGGAUAGGACCAUGCUGUAGGUGGUGUGGUGGAAAGAUUAGUUUCGGUAAGGGAUGAGCUCGCGGCCUAUCAGCUUGUUGGUGGGGUAAUGGCCUACCAAGGCGUCGACGGGUAGCCGGCCUGAGAGGGUGGACGGCAAAAUGGGGACGGGGAUACGGCCCAGAUCCUUAGGGGGGGCAGAAGGGGGGAAUAUUGAACAAUGGGGGAAGCCCGGAUGCAGGGCCGCGGGGUGGGGGAGGACGGCCUUCGGGUUGUAAACCCCUUUCAGCCAGGACGAGGCCUUGUGGUGACGGUAGUGGUAGAAGAAGCACCGGCUAACUACGUG